rnacentral:rRNA from 1 species
ACGGGUGCGUAACGCGUAUGCAACCUACCUUUUACAGAGGGAUAGCCCAGAGAAAUUUGGAUUAAUACCUCAUAGUGUUGUUGAAUGGCAUCAUUUGACAACUAAAGUUCCAACGGUAAAAGAUGGGCAUGCGUCCUAUUAGCUAGAUGGUAAGGUAACGGCUUACCAUGGCUACGAUAGGUAGGGGUCCUGAGAGGGAGAUCCCCCACACUGGUACUGAGACACGGACCAGACUCCUACGGGAGGCAGCAGUGAGGAAUAUUGGACAAUGGGCGCAAGCCUGAUCCAGCCAUGCCGCGUGCAGGAAGACGCAUCUAUGGUGUGUAAACUGCUUUUGUACGGGAAGAAACACUCCUACGUGUAGGAGCUUGACGGUACCGUAAGAAUAAGGAUCGGCUAACUCCGUGCC